UACGUAGGGUGCGAGCGUUAAUCGGAAUUACUGGGCGUAAAGCGUGCGCAGGCGGUUCGUGAUGUCUGGUGUGAAAGCCCCGGGCUUAACCUGGGAAUUGCAUUGGAAACUAGCGGGCUGGAGUGUGGCAGAGGGGGGGUGGAAUUCCACGUGUAGCAGUGAAAUGCGUAGAGAUGUGGAGGAACACCGAUGGCGAAGGCAGCCCCCUGGGCUAACACUGACGCUCAUGCACGAAAGCGUGGGGAGCAAACAGG
rnacentral:rRNA from 1 species